CUCGAACGAAGAAACCCUAGAUGUUGACUUCUAAUCUUCUUCCCUCUCUUCCACAGAUUUGCAAAUUAGUCAUGUCUCUAUCUAAGAAAUUCGAAUUUUCAGAAUACCCUUUUGCUCUUCUUCUGCAUUGUUGGUUGACGAUCUUCUUUUUGUAUUGUUAGCCGUUCAAUUUUCUCUAUUCUGUUUGUUCAAACUUGUGUGAAUGCAAAAUGAAUAUAUUUACCACUCAAAACCCAGUACUUUUAGUUUUAAUUUUUAAAUUAUCAAAAAUUAAUUUUUGCAUGUGUGUGCAUAAUUAUUAGUAGGGAUUUGAAUGGAUUAUUUUCGGAGGUUGAAUUGAAAUCUAUUGGAUGAAGAAGAAGUCGGACUGUUGAGGUGUGUGAGCUUAGGUGCCAAAAUUGAGUGAAGGGCUUUCUUCUUUUGGUAGAAUGCUGCUGAACAAAUCACAUUCUCCUUCUUCACGGCAGAAUCCAGUUAAUACUUAUUAUUAAGAGCUUUCGAACGUUUCAUAAUUAUUUUUGAUAAAUCUUUUUCUGUGCUUUUUUCAGGAAGUAAAAAGUCCUCCAACCUCUACCGAUGGUAUGACUUUUCUUCGUGUUAUGUAACUUAUGUUUGAGAAUUUGCUGAUGUGAAAAUUUAUCAUGUUUCGAAUAAUGAAUUAACUAUGAUUAUACCACUGAAGAUGAUGAAGACAGCGACGAAGAGCGAUAGAUGAGGAGCUCAAACGCGACUGUUUGCAAACGAGUUUGGCAGAAACUCACACAAUCGAAGUAACCCAUUAUAGAAAGAAUAUUUUUCUUUUGUUUGGACCUUGUUUCUAAUUUGGGUUUUAUAAAUCUUUUUUGAAUGUGGGUCUGAAAUUAUUAUUUAUUUUUUUAAUCUUUUGUCAGAUUUUUUAUUUGUCUUCAUUUGGAGUUUGUCCAUGUUUUGGAGGGAGUUGUGCAGGUCUGAUUGUGUGUGGAAAGCUCUAUGCAAAGAUGGUUGUUAUGCACGUGAUUUUGAUAAAGAUUCUUCAGCUUUCCAAGAUCAAAAUUUCGAGCUUGACCAGUGAAUGAAUUCCAAUUUAAAGGUCUUUUAUCUAUUUCUAUAAUUUGGGUUUUGUAUUAUGUUUGAGCACUUUUACUUUCUUUAUUUAGUAUAUAUCUUGUUCUUUAGGUGAAUGAAUUAUCACUUUAUUGUAAUUGAGAUUUUAUGUUAUGUUUAAGUUUUGUUUUAAACGUGUAAUGAAAAAAUUAGCAAUAAAUAAGGUCCACCUUUUGUAAUUUAUUUUCUUGGGUGUGAAGAAAUUUUCUGGAAUCCUUGAAAAAAAAGGAUUAUGUUCCCUAAUAUUUCUUGCUUUGUACAGAUUUCAUACAUUCUUGUGGAUUUACUAAUAUGAUGGGCAUAAGAGGAUACAUUAAUGACUUCAGGAAAAAGAAGAUGAAGUUUGAUCCUACUGCAUACUUGAGUACAUACUAUGAGUCAGUAUCUCAUUUACCAACGGGCUACAUGUGAAGUUCCCACAUUGUGCCAAAGCAAAAUGGUAAGCGUGCCAUUUAGAAUUGCAUGACUAAUAUUCAUGGAGGCAAUAAUUUUUCAUUGCCGAGAAGCUAAAUUAUGUAGAAAUCUUGUUUCGGUCAACAUUUUCCAUAUCUCAAUCUUAUAUAGGACUAAUCCUUUCAACUAAUCUGCAGACUGUGGCCGUCUGGUUGAUAUUGUCGACUCUGGCCAUCUGGUUGAUAUUGUUGGUUAUUUUUUUUUAAACUAGCAAUCAAAAUGUCAACCUCCUGAAGAAUUUGCUGAAUGGAUGCAAAAGGGAUUUAGGCCCUUCAACUAAGUUCGUAGAAGAAAUUUCUAAUUAUUAUUAGUAUUUUCACUUAGAAGCAAUUUUUAGUACACA
rnacentral:lncRNA from 1 species